AAAAUUUUAGUUUAUUAUAAAACAUUUUUUUUACAAGAAAAAAAAAAUAUUUAUUUGUUAAAUUUUA
rnacentral:tRNA from 1 species